GAUGAACGCUGGCGGCGUGCCUAAUACAUGCAAGUCGAGCGAACAGACGAGGAGCUUGCUGCUCUGACGUUAGCGGCGGACGGGUGAGUAACACGUGGAUAACCUACCUAUAAGACUGGGAUAACUUCGGGAAACCGGAGCUAAUACCGGAUAAUAUCUUGAACCGCAUGGUUCAAUAGUGAAAGACGGUUUUGCUGUCACUUAUAGAUGGAUCCGCGCCGCAUUAGCUAGUUGGUAAGGUAACGGCUUACCAAGGCAACGAUGCGUAGCCGACCUGAGAGGGUGAUCGGCCACACUGGAACUGAGACACGGUCCAGACUCCUACGGGAGGCAGCAGUAGGGAAUCGUCCGCAAUGGGCGAAAGCCUGACGGAGCAACGCCGCGUGAGUGAUGAAGGUCUUCGGAUCGUAAAACUCUGUUAUUAGGGAAGAACAAAUGUGUAAGUAACUGUGCACGUCUUGACGGUACCUAAUCAGAAAGCCACGGCUAACUACGUG
rnacentral:rRNA from 1 species